rnacentral:tRNA from 1 species
GAACUUAGGAUAGCAUAAACCAAGGGCCUUCAAAGCCCUAAACAAGAGCACCAACCUCUUAGCUCCUGGCU